GAGCCUUAUACUUAGGAAGACACAACUACCUUUGAACAGUCCUUUGUGAAAUCUAAUGAUCGCAACGAACGAAAUAAACCAGAACAUCGUUCUUCAAGCCAAGGACCCUUGUCAUCCAUUAGAGCGGUAAUCAAGAGAUCUUCUCGGACUUCUAUUCAGAGUGAACUUCAUCGAGAUAGAAGGCGCCCAGAGAUCACCAUUGUGGCAGCUGAGCCACUGAGGCCAGCCUCGUGGUUUCCAGGAACCCCACCCCCAGGACUGGGAUUUCCUACAUCAUCUGCAGCAGGCUCUUGGAGGCCUAAUGAGCUGGUUCCUGCUGAGCUCCCACCAUCUUAUGAACAAGUUAUAAAAGAAAUCAACCAAGUUCAAGUUAAUACUACAAAUAAUAAUAAUGCUGCUGCUACUCCAAGGCACACUAUUACUUCUGCAACUCAGACUGACUUUUCAGAAGAAAUAGACAACGAUCUGCCUCAAACACUACAGGCACCUCUCAAGCCUCUUCAGCCUUUCUCAGCAGUCUCGUCUGGCAAUCUUCCAACAAAUGUGGCACCUUUAAUCGUCUUUGAUAUUUCUGAAGAACCGAAUUGUCCAGAAAACCCCAGUGCUACAAGAUGUCCAGUGCCAAAACCAAGAUCAAAAAGCAACCUCAGACCAAUACCCAGAGAUUCUCACAUUAAAGAGCAAAGUCAACAGAAAAUCAGCCCAGCAGCCGUAGGAGAGGAGUCAUCCCCAGGCCGGCCCCAGUCUCUGCUGGACAACGCUAGCACCUCAGACAGUCAGGCAGUGAUGAACAUUAUGAACACAGAACAAAGCCAAAAUAGUAUUGUUUCCAGAAUUAAAGUGUUUGAGGGUCAGACAAACAUAGAAACCUCAGGACUGCCC
rnacentral:lncRNA from 1 species